UCGGAGCAGACGCUCGGGGCAGGCGUCAGGCUUUAUGCUUCGAACGUGCCAGACGUAGACUGCUUUCCAGCUGAGAGCAGGGGUGAGCGUGGGGGAGACGGCAGGUUUGUGGAGGACGGCGUCGUGUGGUUGGGCAGGGAUGCGGUUCGGUUCCCAGACCUGGGUCUGCCUCGGAAUAACCUGACGGGAUUUUCCAGAAACUGAGUCUCUCACUCGAGAGUCAGGCAGUUGGAGAGAUUAAAUCCAGACCGCACCAGAUACUGACUACGUGACCUUGGACAAGGUACUUAAUGUUUCUGAGUGUUUACUGCAAAGCAGAGAUCAUAAUGACCUCAUAGAAUUGUCACGAGGGUUCCAUGAGCUAAUGUAAGUGAAUCGCUGCGCGCAGUGCUUGGCACAUUGUUUUGGCGGUAAAUAGCAGGUAUUGCUUACUUUUCAUUAGAAAGACGUGCGCAGUGUGGAAUAAGUAAUGACAUAGAGAUCAGCAAGAAUCAGGCAAAAAAUAAGGUCAUUCUAGUUCCCCAAAAUAACUACUGAUAAUGUUCUGGUGUACGUCCUUCCAGAUUUUGAUCUCUCUGUGUGCUUUUUUUUUUUUUUUUCUAACACACUACCUACAAUUGGGUUGCCCUGUCAUCUUAUUCCACCCCAAGGAAUCAACUCUGAAUUGGAUCAAGGUGGGAGUUGCAUCAUUAGCGAACGCGGACAUUUAUAAAUGGAGAGCCGUCAAUUCUAAAGGACCUUUUUGCGCGUGCAAGUUUGCAUUUCUGCACCAACCCGGAUUCUGGCACACCGUAGGCACGCGAUACAUUUCAGUGAAGAAGAAAAACAAAAACAAAGGGAAGGUGCCGGGCCACAGUUUGCAAGACUUCCAUUUUGUCAUGGCUGUAAGAAAGAGGAGGAAGAGAUAACCAUGAGAACAGAACUGAUAUUAGGAAUUUGGCCCCAGGGAAGAAGUUUCCAGGGAAAGGCGUAGAGUCCACAUUUUGAAAAUGGAGUCUCUUCUGCAUGGUAAAAGCACCAGUUAGGGAGAGAGAAAAUGCUGACUUCUCCCAGCCUGCAGCCGCCGGGAGGAGGGACUUUUAGAGCCAAAGGGACUUUUAGCUGAGUAAUAAAGCAAUAUCCCUCGCGAACACCA